GACGAACGAGGGAGGAGGGAGGAACACAUGCAAGUCGAACGGAAAGGCCCUGCUUUUGUGGGGUGCUCGAGUGGCGAACGGGUGAGUAACACGUGAGUAACCUGCCCUUGACUUUGGGAUAACUUCAGGAAACUGGGGCUAAUACCGGAUAGGAGCUCCUGCUGCAUGGUGGGGGUUGGAAAGUUUCGGCGGUUGGGGAUGGACUCGCGGCUUAUCAGCUUGUUGGUGGGGUAGUGGCUUACCAAGGCUUUGACGGGUAGCCGGCCUGAGAGGGUGACCGGCCACAUUGGGACUGAGAUACGGCCCAGACUCCUACGGGAGGCAGCAGUGGGGAAUAUUGCACAAUGGGCGGAAGCCUGAUGCAGCAACGCCGCGUGCGGGAUGACGGCCUUCGGGUUGUAAACCGCUUUCGCCUGUGACGAAGCGUGAGUGACGGUAAUGGGUAAAGAAGCACCGGCUAACUACGUU
rnacentral:rRNA from 1 species